UGACGAGUUUGAUCCUGGCUCAGGAUGAACGCUAGCGGCAGGCUUAACACAUGCAAGUCGAGGGGUAUAGUUCUUCGGAACUAGAGACCGGCGCACGGGUGCGUAACGCGUAUGCAAUCUACCUUUUACAGGGGAAUAGCCCAGAGAAAUUUGGAUUAAUGCCCCAUAGUAUAGUUUAUUCGCAUGAGUAGAUUAUUAAACGUUCCAACGGUAAAAGAUGAGCAUGCGUCCCAUUAGCUAGAUGGUAAGGUAACGGCUUACCAUGGCGACGA
rnacentral:rRNA from 1 species